UAAGUACAGCUAUUUAUAAGAACCAGGCAGAAAUGAAAAUAAGUGAUUCAUGAUAGUGAUAGAUUUUUCAAAAACUAUCAUAUUUACAUUAAGAUACAUCAAACUAAAUACUUGAUCACAGUUAUAAAUGGAUUUCAUGCAUAGUUGAUUAAAAAAUGAAUUCAAUAUAUACUGAAACAGUCAACAAUAUCCAUUGAAAGGUGUCUGUACGUGCAGGUGAUUUUUUAAGAAGGCCCGCACUCUCCUUGAAUGUGAAUUAUAAAAUAUUGAACAUCUAGUAUCAAAGAGUAAAAAACAAUUAAAAAACCCAUGGGUUAUUUUAAUUACGAAUAGAUAUUGUGAUUUUAAAUUAUGUAAAAACAUGAAAUUCUAGUUAUCUCCCUUGGCACUCUUUAGUAAAACGAGUUGGAAAGAGUGUAUUUAACUCUUCAGUUUAGAAGGGGAGGAUUAAGAAAUGUGUGUGAUUUCAUCUUCAUUUUGGAAGUUUUGCCGGUUUUCAUACGUCCAAGGGGCAUGUAAGUCUAAAAUUUUCAUUAGAAAAAUAUAAUCCUAGGAUUAAAAAAAAAAUAACUGCCUGCAAUUUGCUUUUUUUUAUCUGACAAAAACAAAAUUUUAUUUCCUAAACAUGCUAUGAGUUUGAGUGUUUUGAUUUAGGCUAACUUGUUUAACAAUAACAUCAAAACUACUUAAAUUCAGUUAAUUUUGGGGAAAAAACAUUUAAUUUUGUACUGGAAUUUGAACAGUAGCUCGCUGCUGGGGAUUAGAGUAUGAUGAGUAUCUCUCCUUUCCGUCGAUACUCCCUUAGUACUGCAAUAUACACAGUUGACUGGAAGAAAUCCUCGACCUCAGCAUACAUGAAGCCAUAGCAAGAAGCAGUGAAAGCCACAGCAGAGAUUGGAUGGAGCAUAAUUUUUUCUAUGUAUCGGUGCCUCUAUGGAUGUCAUAUUUAGAUCAGAUGCAGUCUGAGCCUUGUUCUGAAUUUCAAAAUCCCCUUUGACAACACCUACACAGCUGAGCAAUCAAGGGCCUUCUGACUAAGGGUUGAAUUAUAGUGAACACUACAAUUCAGAGACUUUGAAACAGAUUGAUGAAUGAACCACAUGCAUUAUGUCAGAUGAAUCUAGCUGGACUUGGAGCACCUUUUUAGCAGCCAGGACACAUAGAUGUACCUAUACAGUUGAUACAGAUAAUCUCAACGGCACAUUUCUAAAUGAUGGCCAAAAAAAUCUAAUAAAGACACUGUCAGUUUAAAACUUUUUGAAAGAAAUCCAGACCAGAAACAAAGGACAUUGAUUUUCAAGCUCCUCCAAAUGUAAAAGGGGUUUUAUUGAAACCAAGACCAGGAUACACCCAAGGAUAUUUAAUAUUACAACCCUUCAACAUAAAAUUUUGAAUUUUAGUUUGCCUAUCUAGUCAAGAACAUGGAUUUUUUGACAUUUGAUACACUUUACAUGUAUAAUGUUAUAUUGACAUUUUUUCAAGAUUUCUUUACUGUAAACUAUUUAUUUCAGCAAAAAGUACAUUUACAGAUGAUUUUUCAAAAAUUGCUUUAAAAAUACAAUUGAAAUAUUUAGAUCAUGUCUCAUAAAUGGUUAAUCACAGUUACCACAGAAACCAAAUAUUUGUUUUAAAGAAGUUAGGUACAAAAAAAUGUGUCUUUCAGUAUUUUAGCUAAUGGCAGUUUUCUUCAUACAAGCUAAUCACAUUGACUAAAUUGUAUAGGCAAAUACAAUAUUUUUGGAGAUGCUGUCAUGGUAACCAGAUACAAAUCACAAAAGCAUAUUUAAAAAAAUAUAUUUUCAUGCAUUUACAAUAAACUGUGAAAAUAAUACAUGUAUGUUAGUCAAUAGUUAUUUUAUAUUUUAUGGAGAUUUUGUAAAGUUAAUUUAUUUAAAAAAGCAUUUCCAGGAUAAUUUGUUGCCAUGGUUACAAAAAUUUAUGAGAAAUACACUGGUUUUAUCUAAUAUUUGCAAGGUUUAGGAGAACAUUUUCUAUCUUAUAUUAUCAAUUUUUUUGUGCUUGUGGUAUUUUUUCCACAACAUACUCUGAAAAUGAUGUAUUUUGGUAUUUUCUUGAAAAAUGAUUUUUUGUGAUAUUCUGUUGCCAUGGUUACAGAAUUUUUUU